rnacentral:rRNA from 1 species
AACGCGAAGAACCUUACCCAGGCUUGACAUGCAGUGGACGACACCAGAGAUGGUGUUUCCCUUCGGGGCCGCUGCACAGGUGCUGCAUGGCUGUCGUCAGCUCGUGCCGUGAGGUGUUGGGUUAAGUCCCGCAACGAGCGCAACCCUUAUCAUUAGUUGCCAACAUUUAAGGUGGGAACUCUAAUGAGACUGCCUGGGUUAACCAGGAGGAAGGUGAGGAUGACGUCAAGUCCGCAUGGCCCUUAUGUCUGGGGCUACACACGUGCUACAAUGGUCGGCACAGAAGGCAGCGAAACCGCGAGGUGAAGCAAAUCCCUAAAGCCGAUCUCAGUUCAGAUUGUAGUCUGCAACUCGACUACAUGAAGACGGAAUUGCUAGUAAUGGCGUGUCAGCAACAACGCCGUGAAUACGUUCCCGGGCCUUGUACACACCGAGACGAC